CAUGGCUAUUAUCAAUAACCACACCGGCAUUCCUCUGAAAAAAAAGACGACAUUUCUUGAGCCGAUCAGAUAUUGAAAUCGCUAACAAACUUUACAGCUGUCCAGCUUGCUUAUUUAAUCUACGAGAUAAAAGAGGAACAAUAUACUUCAACACUUCUAUGACUGACGAAUUAUAUUGCGAGUGGUUCAUCAAAAGGGAGGAGGGAGAAUAUAUCGAGUUCAUUGUCGAUUACGUUAACAUCCCGGAUAACGAAAACUGUACCGAAGAUUACUUGGAUUUUCUCGAUGGAUAUUCCUUUUCUUCUGCGUAUUUAGAUUCUCUUUGUGGGAAUAAGACUGUGGAGGACUUCUACAUAACCACUUCUAAUUAUCUUUUCGUCUUAUUUCAAAGAUCAGAUCGA